rnacentral:tRNA from 1 species
ACUUUCCUGUGGCUCAAUCAGUAGAGCAUUGCACUAUCAACGCAAAGGUCUUGGGUUCAAACCCCAGGGAAUGUG